rnacentral:rRNA from 1 species
AACGAACGCUGGCGGCAUGCCUAACACAUGCAAGUCGAACGAGACCUUCGGGUCUAGUGGCGCACGGGUGCGUAACGCGUGGGAACCUGCCCUUAGGUUCGGAAUAACUCCCCGAAAGGGGUGCUAAUACCGGAUAAUGUCUUCGGACCAAAGAUUUAUCGCCUUUGGAUGGGCCCGCGUUGGAUUAGCUAGUUGGUAGGGUAAAAGCCUACCAAGGCGACGGUCCAUAGCUGGUCUGAGAGGAUGAUCAGCCACACUGGGACUGAGACACGGCCCAGACUCCUACGGGAGGCAGCAGUGGGGAAUAUUGGACAAUGGGCGAAAGCCUGAUCCAGCAAUGCCGCGUGAGUGAUGAAGGCCUUAGGGUUGUAAAGCUCUUUUACCCGGGAUGAUAAUGACAGUACCGGGAGAAUAAGCUCCGGCUAACUCCGCG